rnacentral:rRNA from 1 species
UACGAAGGGGGCUAGCGUUGCUCGGAAUCACUGGGCGUAAAGGGUGCGUAGGCGGGUCUUUAAGUCAGGGGUGAAAUCCUGGAGCUCAACUCCAGAACUGCCUUUGAUACUGGAGAUCUUGAGUCCGGGAGAGGUGAGUGGAACUGCGAGUGUAGAGGUGAAAUUCGUAGAUAUUCGCAAGAACACCAGUGGCGAAGGCGGCUCACUGGCCCGGAACUGACGCUGAGACGCGAAAGCGUGGGGAGCAAACAGG